rnacentral:rRNA from 1 species
GUGAGGAAUAUUGCACAAUGGGCGAAAGCCUGAUGCAGCAACGCCGCGUGAGUGAUGAAGGCCUUUGGGUCGUAAAACUCUGUCCUUGGGGAAGAAAAAAAUGACGGUACCCUUGGAGGAAGCCCCGGCUAACUACGUGCCAGCAGCCGCGGUAAUACGUAGGGGGCAAGCGUUAUCCGGAAUUAUUGGGCGUAAAGAGUGCGUAGGUGGUUUUGUAAGCGUAGGGUGAAAGGCAGUAGCUCAACUAUUGUUAGCCCUGCGAACUGUGAGACUUGAGUGCAGGAGAGGAAAGUGGAAUUCCUAGUGUAGCGGUGAAAUGCGUAGAUAUUAGGAGGAACACCAGUGGCGAAGGCGACUUUCUGGACUGUAACUGACACUGAGGCACGAAAGCGUGGGUAGCAAACAGGAUUAGAAACCCGAGUAGUCC